rnacentral:rRNA from 1 species
CGGCGGACGGGUGAGUAACGCGUGGGUAACCUACCCUGUACACACGGAUAACAUACCGAAAGGUAUGCUAAUACGGGAUAAUAUAUUUGAGAGGCAUCUCUUGAAUAUCAAAGGUGAGCCAGUACAGGAUGGACCCGCGUCUGAUUAGCUAGUUGGUAAGGUAACGGCUUACCAAGGCGACGAUCGGUAGCCGACCUGAGAGGGUGAUCGGCCACAUUGGAACUGAGACACGGUCCAA